AAUACUAUACGUAAUAAAUUAUUAGAUUUAUAUACUAUUAAUAAUAAUACUAAGCGUUUAAUAUUAUUAGAUUUUUAACCCUUGGAUGAAAAAAUAUGCAGUUAGGAUGAUAGUGGUCUUUUAGAGUUGAGUAGUGAUUUGUUGAAUAGUAUGAUCUAACAAAGUAAAAAUGAUUAAAGGGAUAGAUUUAAGGGUGGAAAAUUUGUGAGCACUGAGUGCUUGAUGCUUUUAAAAAAUACUGUAGACAAACUCUCUCUCUCUCUCUCUCUCUCAAUAUAUAUAUAUAUUAAAAAUAAUAUAAAAUUUUAAUUAAUUAUAAUUUUUUACUCAAAUUUUUUUAAUUAUUAUAAUUAAAUUUUACAAUCUAAUUUAGUUGACUAAGUAUUUAUGUGAUGCUAAUUGAAAGUGGUCAUAACAGUACUGUUAUGAUUGAUGACAUGAUAAUAAUUAAAAUUUUAUAUUAUUUUUAUAUUAAUAACACGUCAAUAUUUAGUCAACUAAAUUAGGUUAUGAGAUUUGAUUGCAAUAGGUUACAAAAUUCGAUCGAGAAAUUGACGCACAUAAAAGUUUAAG
rnacentral:lncRNA from 1 species